rnacentral:rRNA from 1 species
UACGGGGGGAGCAAGCGUUGUUCGGAUUUACUGGGCGUAAAGGGCGCGUAGGCGGCCACCGCAAAGUCGACUGUGAAAUCUCCGGGCUUAACCCGGAAAGGUCAGCCGAUACUGCGGGGCUAGAGUGCAGAAGGGGCAACUGGAAUUCUCGGUGUAGCGGUGAAAUGCGUAGAUAUUGGGAAGAACACCGGUGGCGAAGGCGGCGCUCUGGACCGAGACUGACGCUGAGGCGCGAAAGCGUGGGGAGCAAACAGG